GACAGAGAGACCCUUGGUAUUG
rnacentral:miRNA from 1 species